CCAGUAUCAAGGACUUCUAGAUGGCUGAAUGGGACAGAAAUAAUGAAAACACUAUACUCUCUUUACCCCUUCCAUUAUCAUGUCUUACCCUCAGCUGCUCGGAGGAAUUAUGCCCUGAGCUUCUCAGUAAAGGAUGUCGAGAGUUACACUACUGCUGUUGGAGGAAAUGAGGACACGGACACACAUAGAGGAAAGACCACGUGAGGACACAGGGAGAUGAUGACCAUCGACAAGCCAAGGAAACAGCCUCAGAAGAAACCAGCCUUGCCGACAGGUUGACCUCAGAGUUCCAGACUCCAGAACUGUGGGAAAACAAACUUCUGUUGGUUAAGCCACGUAAUCCUUGGCUAAAGAAACAAAACCAACACUCAGCAAACCAUCCAGUUGUGCUGUCAUCAGAGGAAAUGGGGAUGGCAGUGAGCAGAUCUGGGAGGGCAUCCAACGGUUACCAGACGCAAGCCAAGGAAGAUAGUGGGUUCAGGAUACCUUUUGAAGUGGUGCUGUUAAGAAUCUCCCUCAAAAGCUAGUCUGCUCCCAGGUGUUGUUGGCCAUGUGAGAGGGCAGGAUGUAAACUGAAACCAUAAAUGAGUUACAAGGAUCAUUUUCUCUGAACAGCAUUACAUCAAAGAUCAGAUGGUGCCAAAAGAUGAUGCACUCAGCUCCCUCUCUCUAGAGACCUAGUCUUAGCGAUCCGCCUAACCCUGCGAGUGCUGUC